rnacentral:rRNA from 1 species
GACGAACGCUGGCGGCGUGCCUAAUACAUGCAAGUCGAACGCAGUGGGGACGGGUGAGUAACACGUGGGUAACCUCCCCAUCAGCGGGGAUAACACUUGGAAACAGGUGCUAAACCGAUACUGAGGGCUGGACCAGCGGUGCAUUAGCUAGUUGGUGAGGUAACGGCACACCAAGGCAACGAUGCAUAGGCGACCUGAGAGGGGGAUCGGCCACACUGGGACUGAGACACGGCCCAGACUCCUACGGGAGGCAGCAGUAGGGAAUCUUCGGCAAUGGGCGAAAGUCUGACCGAGCAACGCCGCGUGAGUGAAGAAGGUUUUCGGAUCGUAAAACUCUGUUGUUAGAGAAGCGGUAUCUAACCAGAAAGCCACGGCUAACUACGUGCCAGCAGCCGCGGUAAUAC